ACCCCAUCUAUAACUAUAAAUAGGGGGUGGUACUGAAAGGAGAGAUCAUUCAAUUCUUACAUGCUCUCUUGUCUUGCUUAAGAUAAGAAUCCUCUCCUCCUCUCUCUCUUACACCCCUAGUUCUCUUAGGAUAAGCCUAUUUAGCCUAUUCUAAGCUCAAAUAGACUUAGGAUAAGGCUCUAGAGGGUCUUAAGAGGUCUAGCCAAGUUGCCAAGAAACCAAAAAGUGGUCCAAGU
rnacentral:lncRNA from 1 species